CCUUGUCACAGUCUCCCUCCUGCCCUGCUCUUGUAUGCCAUUCUGUUUUAUGUAGAUUCUCAUUCUGCUUUCGUUGUGAAGUAUAUGAGUAACUUGCAAGUGCAAGCCCUGGAAAGAAUCCAAAUCAUAUGGAGCUUGACUCUGGAGAAAGUGUUAACAACAGGCUAAGGCUGUGCUCCCAGAGGAGAUGUGGACCUGGGUUUAAUUGGACUCCUCUCAAAUAGCCCUGCUGUCCUCAGUUGGGGAUCUGUCCAUGCAGAUGGACAGGCUUAUACUGAAAUACCUGCAAGACUGGCUUAAAGGUUGACCUGAACCACUAACAGUAUUUUGGAGUCAACAAAAUCCUUAAUUAUCAGUUCCCUUAAUGCAUUUUG